AACAUUUCUAUAAUUAUUAUGUUUGUUCCAAUCCUAAGGAAGUAGUUUCCAAAACCAUCAAACUUUCUUGCUUUCCUUUUCUCUCUUCAACUCGAGAUACACUAAAUAGACAUAUCUCAAUCAGAGUCUUCUUCGAUUGUUACUAAUGUAAACCUCAUCUACUUUCCUCACAACACUACUUGGAGAUAUGCGUUGGCCUCUGUUGCAAAUGGAGAGGCAACUUCUCCAUGAGCCAUCGUUUUAAUGACGAGGAUCUCCCCAGAAGUAUUUCUAACCACCACCCCUGAGAUCGAUUUAGCUUGAGACUCAUCAAAAGCUGUAUUGAAGUUUAGUUUGAUAUCUAACCCUUCCGGGGGACACCAAUCUGUGGACUCGUUUCUCUUUUUUUUAUCAAGCCACUCGGGGAUCGAAGGAAACGUCGGAGACCAAUCACACUAUCGAAGAAACCACAUUGGUAUAGUUAAACGUUUCGUUUUGUGUAUGGCAUGUAUAGGAACUUGGUUUCUUUUAAUAUGAUAUGAUCAAUGAAUGAUGUGUAAAUACUUUCUAGUGAUUAACUAAUAGAAUGGUUGAUGAUAUACAUGUUUAA